rnacentral:rRNA from 1 species
UACAGAGACUGCAAGCGUUAAUCGGAAUUACUGGGCGUAAAGAGCGCGCAGGCGGUCGUUCAAGUCGAGUGUGAAAGCCCCCGGCUCAACUGGGGAGGGUCAUUCGAUACUGAUCGACUUGAAGGCAGGAGAGGGAAGCGGAAUUCCCGGUGUAGUGGUGAAAUGCGUAGAUAUCGGGAGGAACACCAGUGGCGAAGGCGGCCUCCUGGCCUGUUCUUGACGCUGAGGCGCGAAAGCUAGGGGAGCAAACGGG